UCAAUACGACACGUCUCUGAGCACUGACC
rnacentral:sRNA from 1 species